GACGAACGCUGGCGGCGUGCCUAACACAUGCAAGUCGAGCGAAGUGAGUACUACGGUACGAACUUAGCGGCGGACGGGUGAGUAACGCGUGGACAAUCUACCCUGUAGACUGGGAUAACACCUCGAAAGGGGUGCUAAUACCGGAUAAUGUCGAGAAGCGGCAUCGCUUUUCGAAGAAAGGAGGAAAUCCGCUAUAGGAGGAGUCCGCGUCCCAUUAGCUAGUUGGUGAGGGUAACGGCCCACCAAGGCGACGAUGGGUAGCCGGCCUGAGAGGGUGAACGGCCACACUGGAACUGAGACACGGUCCAGACUCCUACGGGAGGCAGCAGUGGGGAAUAUUGUGCAAUGGGGGAAACCCUGACACAGCAACGCCGCGUGAGCGAAGAAGGCCUUCGGGUUGUAAAGCUCAAUAGUAUGGGAAGAUAAUGACGGUACCAUACGAAAGCCCCGGCUAACUACGUGCCAGCCGCCGCCGUAA
rnacentral:rRNA from 1 species